rnacentral:misc_RNA from 1 species
GAUGAAGAACGUAGCGAAAUGCGAUAAGUAAUGUGAAUUGCAGAAUUCAGUGAAUCAUCGAAUCUUUGAACGCACAUUGCGCCCGCCAGUAUUCUGGCGGGCAUGCCUGUUCGAGCGUCAUUUCAACCAUCAAGCCCCAGGCUUGUGUUGGGGACCUGCGGCUGCCGCAGGCCCUGAAAACCAGUGGCGGGCUCGCUGUCACACCGGGCGUAGUAGAUUUUAUCUCGCUCAGGGCGUGCUGCGGGUUCCGGCCGUUAAAAAGCCUUUUUUACCCAAGGUUGACCUCGGAUCAGGUAGGAAGACCCGCUUAACUUAAGCAUAUCAAUAAGCGGAGGA